rnacentral:rRNA from 1 species
UACGUAGGGUGCAAGCGUUAAUCGGAAUUACUGGGCGUAAAGCGUGCGCAGGCGGUGAUGUAAGACAGGUGUGAAAUCCCCGGGCUUAACCUGGGAACUGCAUUUGUGACUGCAUCGCUGGAGUGCGGCAGAGGGGGAUGGAAUUCCGCGUGUAGCACGUGAAAUGCGUAGAUAUGCGGAGGAACACCGAUGGCGAAGGGCAAUCCC